rnacentral:rRNA from 1 species
UACGUAGGGGGCAAGCGUUGUCCGGAUUUAUUGGGCGUAAAGAGCGUGUAGGCGGCCUGACAAGUCUGCUGUGAAAACUCGAGGCUCAACCUCGAGAUGUCGGCGGAAACUGUCUGGCUAGAGUCCGGAAGAGGAGAGUGGAAUUCCCGGUGUAGCAGUGAAAUGCGUAGAGAUCGGGAGGAACAUCAGUUGCGAAGGCGGCUCUCUGGACCAGCACUGACACUGAGGCACGAAAGCGUGGGGAGCAACAGG